GAUGAGUCGGCGGUCGAUUAGGUUGUUGGUGAGGUAACGGCUCACCAAGCCUAUGAUCGAUAGGGGCCUUGAGAGAGGUAACCUCGAGAAGGGCACUGAGAUACUGGCCCUAGCCCUACGGGGUGCAGCAGGCGCGGAACCUUUACAAUGCACGAAAGUGUGAUAAGGGAAUCCAAAGUGCUUUGCUUUUAGCAAGGCUUUUGCCAAGAGUAAAUAUCUUGGAGAAUAAGUGGUGGGAAAGACUGGUGCCAGCCGCCGCGGNNNNNNNNNNUCUCCAGCGCCACAAGUGGCAACCGCUUUUAUUGGGCCUAAAGCGUCCGUAGCCGGUUCAGUAAAUUUUCUGUGAAAUCGUUGGGCUUAACCUAACGUCGUGCAGGAAACACUGCUGAACUAGGGACCGGGAGGCGUCAGAGGUAUUCCUGAGGGAGCGGUAAAAUGCUAUAAUCUCAGGAGGACCCCCUGUGGCGAAAGCGUCUGACGAGAACGGAUCCGACGGUGAGGGACGAAAGCUAGGGGAGCAAACCGGAUUAGAUACCCGAGUAGUCCUGGCUGAAAACUCUGCGAGCUAGGUGUUACGUAUUCUUCGGGAAUACGAAGUGUCGAAGCGAAGGUGAUAAGCUCGACGCCUGGGAAGUAUGGUCGC
rnacentral:rRNA from 1 species